AUGGACCAUUCCAUCCCUUUUUCCCGUGCAUAUGCAUCGGACUCGGAUGACGAUGGUCUCGAUGAACAAGUUGAUGCGGAGGGGUUCACGGUGAAGGAGGCCGAAGCUUUCGAGAAGGUAUUCGGUCGGGAUCAUCGGACUACAUUGUUCAAGGAUGUUAGUCUCGCGGAUGAAGCCGUGGUAGAUGGUGGCCAAUGUGUAUCUCUUGGGGUUAGGCCAAGCUCUCAC
rnacentral:rRNA from 1 species